CAUUGAAUCUGAUCUGGAUAGUAGCCUCAGGAUUUCCUACAAUUCCCUCUGACGAGCAAAGUGAAGCACUGCUGGUCCCUGUUCUGGGCAGGAGCAUCAGACGUGGAAAAAGAAAGGUGCCAGCACAGUGGACAGAGGAGCGUGCUUAGGACAAGUAACAUGUGAACAGGUCCUUGCUGGCUCAGUUGGAACAUUACCCUUGGCAGUGGAGAGAAUUUUCCAUCUUCACAAACAGUUGUAAGCCAAUAGGACCAAGGAUGGAGCUGCGGGGUGCAGAGUGAGAAAAGCAUGCCCAGCUGACCCAGAUGGCACAGAGAAAGACAAGGUGGCUGUCUCAGCAGGAUUGGGGCUGGGCAGACCCAUCCAAGAUCACACGCCAUCCGCUCACAUUCGGGCUAUAAAGACUGACCUCACUUCAAACCAGUUGUCUAUCUGUAAGGGAUUCUGAUGCUUUUUCUUCCUCUUCUUCUUCUUCUUCAAAAAAAUAAGUUUAUAAUUCACUCUAUCAACAAACACCAUUUUGAUCUGGGUAACAUCCCUGCUGUUUCAAUGACUUAUUUUCCAAAGAUUGAG